rnacentral:rRNA from 1 species
GACGAACGCUGGCGGCGUGCUUAACACAUGCAAGUCGAACGGAAAGGCCCUGCUUUUGUGGGGUGCUCGAGUGGCGAACGGGUGAGUAACACGUGAGUAACCUGCCCUUGACUUUGGGAUAACUUCAGGAAACUGGGGCUAAUACCGGAUAGGAGCUCCUGCUGCAUGGUGGGGGUUGGAAAGUUUCGGCGGUUGGGGAUGGACUCGCGGCUUAUCAGCUUGUUGGUGGGGUAGUGGCUUACCAAGGCUUUGACGGGUAGCCGGCCUGAGAGGGUGACCGGCCACAUUGGGACUGAGAUACGGCCCAGACUCCUACGGGAGGCAGCAGUGGGGAAUAUUGCACAAUGGGCGGAAGCCUGAUGCAGCAACGCCGCGUGCGGGAGGACGGCCUUCGGGUUGUAAACCGCUUUCGCCUGUGACGAAGCGUGAGUGACGGUAAUGGGUAGAGAAGCACCGGCUAACUACGU